rfam:A-2 plaque virus A2 polyprotein gene, complete cds.
GAUGAAUAACUACAUACAGUUCAAGAGCAAAUCAAGGAUUGAACCCGUAUGUUUAUUAAUC